rnacentral:rRNA from 1 species
AGCGUACACGGUGGAUGCCCUGGCAGUCAGAGGCGAUGAAGGACGUGCUAAUCUGCGAAAAGCGCCGGUAAGGUGAUAUGAACCGUUAUAACCGGCGAUGUCCGAAUGGGGAAACCCAGUGUGACUCGUCACACUAUCAUUAACUGAAUCCAUAGGUUAAUGAGGCGAACCGGGGGAACUGAAACAUCUAAGUACCCCGAGGAAAAGAAAUCAACCGAGAUUCCCCCAGUAGCGGCGAGCGAACGGGGAGCAGCCCAGAGCCUGAAUCAGCUUGUGUGUUAGUGGAAGCGUCUGGAAAGUCGCGCGAUACAGGGUGACAGCCCCGUACACAAAAGCACACAGGCUGUGAGCUCGAUGAGUAGGGCGGGACACGUGGUAUCCUGUCUGAAUAUGGGGGGACCAUCCUCCAAGGCUAAAUACUCCUGACUGACCGAUAGUGAACCAGUACCGUGAGGGAAAGGCGAAAAGAACCCCGGCGAGGGGAGUGAAAAAGAACCUGAAACCGUGUACGUACAAGCAGUGGGAGCAUCCUUCGGGGUGUGACUGCGUACCUUUUGUAUAAUGGGUCAGCGACUUAUAUUCUGUAGCAAGGUUAACCGCAUAGGGGAGCCGAAGGGAAACCGAGUCUUAACUGGGCGUUAAGUUGCAGGGUAUAGACCCGAAACCCGGUGAUCUAGCCAUGGGCAGGUUGAAGGUUGGGUAACACUAACUGGAGGACCGAACCGACUAAUGUUGAAAAAUUAGCGGAUGACUUGUGGCUGGGGGUGAAAGGCCAAUCAAACCGGGAGAUAGCUGGUUCUCCCCGAAAGCUAUUUAGGUAGCGCCUCGUGAAUUCAUCUCCGGGGGUAGAGCACUGUUUCGGCUAGGGGGCCAUCCCGGCUUACCAACCCGAUGCAAACUACGAAUACCGGAGAAUGUUAUCACGGGAGACACACGGCGGGUGCUAACGUCCGUCGUGAAGAGGGAAACAACCCAGACCGCCAGCUAAGGUCCCAAAGUCAUGGUUAAGUGGGAAACGAUGUGGGAAGGCCCAGACAGCCAGGAUGUUGGCUUAGAAGCAGCCAUCAUUUAAAGAAAGCGUAAUAGCUCACUGGUCGAGUCGGCCUGCGCGGAAGAUGUAACGGGGCUAAACCAUGCACCGAAGCUGCGGCAGCGACACUAUGUGUUGUUGGGUAGGGGAGCGUUCUGUAAGCCUGCGAAGGUGGCCUGUGAGGGUUGCUGGAGGUAUCAGAAGUGCGAAUGCUGACAUAAGUAACGAUAAAGCGGGUGAAAAGCCCGCUCGCCGGAAGACCAAGGGUUCCUGUCCAACGUUAAUCGGGGCAGGGUGAGUCGACCCCUAAGGCGAGGCCGAAAGGCGUAGUCGAUGGGAAACAGGUUAAUAUUCCUGUACUUGGUGUUACUGCGAAGGGGGGACGGAGAAGGCUAUGUUAGCCGGGCGACGGUUGUCCCGGUUUAAGCGUGAAGGUGUGUGUUCCAGGCAAAUCCGGAGCACUUUAACACUGAGGCGUGAUGACGAGGCACUACGGUGCUGAAGUAACAAAUGCCCUGCUUCCAGGAAAAGCCUCUAAGCUCCAGGUAACACGAAAUCGUACCCCAAACCGACACAGGUGGUCAGGUAGAGAAUACCAAGGCGCUUGAGAGAACUCGGGUGAAGGAACUAGGCAAAAUGGUGCCGUAACUUCGGGAGAAGGCACGCUGAUACGUAGGUGAAGUCCCUCGCGGAUGGAGCUGAAAUCAGUCGAAGAUACCAGCUGGCUGCAACUGUUUAUUAAAAACACAGCACUGUGCAAACACGAAAGUGGACGUAUACGGUGUGACGCCUGCCCGGUGCCGGAAGGUUAAUUGAUGGGGUCAUCCGUAAGUAGAAGCUCUUGAUCGAAGCCCCGGUAAACGGCGGCCGUAACUAUAACGGUCCUAAGGUAGCGAAAUUCCUUGUCGGGUAAGUUCCGACCUGCACGAAUGGCGUAAUGAUGGCCAGGCUGUCUCCACCCGAGACUCAGUGAAAUUGAACUCGCUGUGAAGAUGCAGUGUACCCGCGGCAAGACGGAAAGACCCCGUGAACCUUUACUAUAGCUUGACACUGAACACUGGUCCUUGAUGUGUAGGAUAGGUGGGAGGCUUUGAAGCGUGGACGCCAGUCUGCGUGGAGCCGCCCUUGAAAUACCACCCUUUAAUGGCUGGUGUUCUAACGUGGACCCGUGAUCCGGGUUGCGGACAGUGUCUGGUGGGUAGUUUGACUGGGGCGGUCUCCUCCUAAAGCGUAACGGAGGAGCACGAAGGUCAGCUAAUCCUGGUCGGACAUCAGGAGGUUAGUGCAAUGGCAUAAGCUGGCUUGACUGCGAGCGUGACGGCGCGAGCAGGUGCGAAAGCAGGUCAUAGUGAUCCGGUGGUUCUGAAUGGAAGGGCCAUCGCUCAACGGAUAAAAGGUACUCCGGGGAUAACAGGCUGAUACCGCCCAAGAGUUCAUAUCGACGGCGGUGUUUGGCACCUCGAUGUCGGCUCAUCACAUCCUGGGGCUGAAGUAGGUCCCAAGGGUAUGGCUGUUCGCCAUUUAAAGUGGUACGCGAGCUGGGUUUAGAACGUCGUGAGACAGUUCGGUCCCUAUCUGCCGUGGGCGCUGGAGAAUUGAGGGGGGCUGCUCCUAGUACGAGAGGACCGGAGUGGACGCAUCACUGGUGUUCGGGUUGUCAUGCCAAUGGCACUGCCCGGUAGCUAAAUGCGGAAGAGAUAAGUGCUGAAAGCAUCUAAGCACGAAACUUGCCCCGAGAUGAGUUCU